rnacentral:lncRNA from 1 species
CAACAUACAAUUCAGAUCUUAAAACUAAUUUUUAUAUCUAAAUUUAUUUUAUAAAAUUAUAAUUAAUCAUAAAUUAUUUUAGAUCUAAUCUAAAUAUAUUUAUGAUUAAAAUAAUUUUAAAAUUUUUUUCACUAUUCUUCUUCAUGAGACUUGAUCAUAGUGGCACCCCUACUCAUCAUAAGAGAAUCCAUCAAAUGGAUGAGAGAAGGACUUAACCCCUGUUAUCAC